rnacentral:rRNA from 1 species
CCUACGGGAGGCAGCAGUGAGGAAUAUUGGUCAAUGGGCGAGAGCCUGAACCAGCCAUCCCGCGUGCAGGAUGACGGCCCUACGGGUUGUAAACUGCUUUUAUGUACCAAGAAUGUGUUCUACGUGUAGGAUUUUGACGGUAGUACAUGAAUAAGCAUCGGCUAACUCCGUGCCAGCAGCCGCGGUAAUACGGAGGAUGCAAGCGUUAUCCGGAUUCAUUGGGUUUAAAGGGUGCGUAGGCGGCUAUAUAAGUCAGUGGUGAAAUGCUGCAGCUCAACUGUAGAACUGCCAUUGAAACUGUAUAGCUUGAGUGCGCCUGAGGUAGGCGGAAUGAGUAGUGUAGCGGUGAAAUGCUUAGAUAUUACUCAGAACACCGAUUGCGAAGGCAGCUUACUAAAGCGUAACUGACGCUGAUGCACGAAAGCGUGGGGAGCGAACAGGAUUAGAUACCCUGGUAGUCCACGCCGUAAACGAUGAUAACUCGCUGUUGGCGAUACACAGUCAGCGGCUAAGCGAAAGC